UUUACAACCAGAUACCAGUGGCAGGCGUUCAGACAGUUCUGGAACUGAGACUGAUGACAGUUAUGACUGGAAACAGACCAGAAAACUUCAGUCAAGUUUUAACUAUAAGAAAAAUACCAGUAUUGUUCAUUCAGGCAACACUGAUGAGAAACAAUUUAAAGGCUCUAAAUAUGGAAAAGCAUCUAGUCACAUGAACAACUUAGAGCAACAAAAGGGGAGGCAAGCAAGCGGAAAACCAUCUAGCUGUUCUGAUCAGAAGAAACAGAAACAGAAGGGCACUCUGAACAAACAAAUUACAAUUCCGACAGGG